UGGGGAAUUUUGGACAAUGGGCGAAAGCCUGAUCCAGCAACGCCGCGUGAGGGACGACGGCCUUCGGGUUGUAAACCUCUUUUUAGUAGGGAAGAAGCGAAAGUGACGGUACCUGCAGAAAAAAGCACCGGCUAACUACGUGCCAGCAGCCGCGGUAAUACGUAGGGUGCGAGCGUUGUCCGGAAUUAUUGGGCGUAAAGAGCUCGUAGGCGGUCUGUCGCGUCUGCUGUGAAAACCCGAGGCUCAACCUCGGGCCUGCAGUGGGUACGGGCAGACUAGAGUGCGGUAGGGGAGAAUGGAAUUCCUGGUGUAGCGGUGGAAUGCGCAGAUAUCAGGAGGAACACCGAUGGCGAAGGCAGUUCUCUGGGCCGUAACUGACGCUGAGGAGCGAAAGCGUGGGGAGCGAACAGGAUUAGAUACCCUGGUAGUCCACGCCGUAAACGUUGGGCGCUAGAUGUGGGGACCAUUCCACGGUUUCCGUGUCGCAGCUAACGCAUUAAGCGCCCCGCCUGGGGAGUACGGCCGCAAGGCUAAAACU
rnacentral:rRNA from 1 species